rnacentral:misc_RNA from 1 species
AAGUCGUAACAAGGUUUCCGUAGGUGAACCUGCGGAAGGAUCAUUAACUAAUUUAUGGUAGAACCAUUCUACCUGUAACCUUUGUGCAUUGCCCAUUUUCUAUGUAAAUAGUAAUGGGACACACGCAGUUGCGUGGAUCUAUAUGUUUAUUAGAGUCUUAUAUAUACUAAUAUAUCAAAAACAACUUUUAACAAUGGAUCUCUAGGCUCUU